CCGUUUCACUCUCUUGAAGCCGUCCAUUAAUUGCGCCAUUUACUCUCGAUCUCGAAAAUUUGCAGGCGAUCCGUCGCUUCUUCGGCGGAGAACACAGAACCGCUGCUUUUCAUCAUCGAGCCCUAACCUUGACAGCCGGACGGAUGCCAUUUCAUCCAUGGCCGCGGCAGCCCGUGGCCGGGUUGGACCUUUCAUGGACCUUUCAUGAGGCCCAUAAAAAUCUGACUAUUUAGAGGGCCCAUAAAUUGGAAACCCCUCUUUUGGAAAGGGCCCAGCUGCCCAUGAUCUACCCUCUCCCUCUGCAAUCUUCGCUUUCACCCUGCCUUCUCCUUCUCUCGUUUUCGCUUUUCUUGCCCUCUCUUUCUUUCUGUCACUCCCUCCGUCGCUCUCAUCCUUGUCGACUCGCCCUCACCCUCGCUCUCGCUCUCGCCGUUAACUGGUCCAUCGCUCGCGCCUCUCUACUCCAUCGGCCUUCACCUUCCCUGGGCUCGCCUCUUGCUGCUGUGUUCAGUCGACGGUCGCUCGACGCUCGCCCUCGUGGCCGGUCAUCGGUGGCUCGCUCACACUGCCCUGCCUCGCUCUCCGUCGCUCACUGCCUUAGAUUCAAUCUUUGUCUUUGAAGCAAAUCUGUUUCUCAAAAGCCCUAACUUCAGUAUCUAAAUCUGCUUAGCUUCAUUCAACUUUUAGCGGUUAGUUUCUCUUUCAUUUUAUUUCGUUUAUGAAAUAAAAUUAUGAUACAUUCGGAGAUUUGGAUUAUUGGAUAGCUUGCCUAUGUCUAUUUUAUUGAUGUUAGCUGAAUCUAGCAAAAGAAAAUUUAAUUUUAUUGAUAUCUUCAUUUUGUUUAUAUACAUGAUAACUGUUUGUUUUUUUCUUAGAAAAUAGAACUAGAGUCUAGAGAUGCCUUGUUCAUUUUAUUUUUUUUAUUAUUAUUACAAGUCUAGAUAUAGAAAUUAAGUUUAAGAUUAUUAUUGUUUAAGUGUGUAUUGGAUUGGCUAUGUUGUCUAUUAAGAAAAAAAUACUCGAACAUCUUGAUUAUGUAAAGUUGAUUGAUUUUUUUGCUUCUAAAAUUGUGUAGUUUUUAAUUGAUAAUUUAGAAAAAUUUUAAUUUUAUUCUUUAAUAUGGUAUAAAUAUUUAUUUAUUUUAUCUUAUUAUAAAAAAAUAAAAUUUAAAUAUACUUUACGAUUCAGGAGCUCAGUUUUAUAUUUCGCCUUAGGCCCUCGAAUCUCAGGUACCGCACUGUCAUUUUCAUAUAUCCAAUCACGCCUGCUUAAGUUAUUUUCCCACAAAUUCUCAAUUGUUAACUCUAAGGUAUGAAAAUAUCAAUAGUAGGUUUACUAAAAUAUUUAUUUAUAAAACGGAUGCAAGUGUAUAUUUACAUGAGGGGCAAUGGUUUUUCCCAACAAUAAUUGGAUUUUCAGCUAUAGAAAUUUUAUUAUAUGUUUAUUUUAAAUUUUUAAUUAAGUAAUUUUGAAGCGAUGUAUAUAUACUAAAAUAAUGAUUUUGAAUUUUAUCAUCUUAGAAAAUUUAUAAUUUAUUUUAUUAAAUUCUUAUUCUAAAAGGUAUAAUAUUUAAGAAAUUUAAUUUUUAUCUAAUUUUUCUAAUAAAAAAGUAAAAGAAAAUAUCUUCCAGAAUAAUCUACCAUGCAGAUAAAAUGAAACCGAAACUGUCAUACACCACACAAAUAGCGAAGCAGUUUGCAAACAAAUCGUACGAGAUGAUCCAUUCCUCUCUCUCUCUCUCUCUCUCUCUCACUCAUGAAAUUUCGCGAUGUUUAUCUAAGGAACCCGAUUUCAGGAUGAUCAGAUGAUCCGCGCUUCUCUGGAAGAUUCCGGAGAAGAACAUGAAACGCCGCCGUCCAUCAUCAAGCCUAGGUUGGCUCACGGACGAAAUCUCAACGACGAUCGCGGCGCCAGUGUCUGAUCACGCCGGUUCUUAUCCGAUCUCUCUUCCUCCCAGUAUUCUACAGUGCCGAUCUGUUUGAUGUAUAUAUAAAAUGCAUAUGGUUAUCCGUACAUGUUUAGAACCAAAACAGUUUUUGGAGUUGGUCAGUUUACACAGUUCAGGUGUUUUCUGCUUGGAUCUACUGGAUAAGGAGACCCAUCACUCAUGUGCCUAUAUGCUUAUGCUUCGCUUCUGCCAGCUUUAGGAGCUCUGCACCUGAAGAUAUACAAGGUAAUGUCAAUCCUUCGUUUGUUGCUAGAUCUCAAACCACUACCCUCUACUAAAUGUGUUCCUAAAAUGAUAAAUUUUUCAAAAGCGAAAUUGUUUUUUCUUUAAAAAGAGUUUUCUAUUUCUUUUUUUUCCUUUCCCUCAAAUAAUUUUAAAGCCUUAGCAUCAGUUAACUCUAUUUUUUUUUUAAACUUAUCCAAGAUAUCACAUACUCAUUAAGAGAGAAAAUGACCAUUCAACUUAUUGUUUCUCAACCUUAUCCAAGAUGUCACAUAUUAACAGAGAAAUUUUGAACCUAACUGUGCAAUCAUUAACAGAGGAAGUUUCCUUUUCGUCUUUCAAAAAUGUCUCUGUACAUAGUAUUUUAGAUUCCAACUUUGUUUACCCCACCCCACUAAAUUUAGUCACACACUUGCUCAUUUAGGACAUUCGGGGGAUCGGUAUAAAUUGAUCUAUAGUCUUAUUCGGCUCUCUUUGACAACCAAAAUUACAUUAAAGAGAAGCACAAGUUCGUUCAAUUAAUUUGGUUUGUGUUAUUAUCUACGAAAGUAUUCAAGAAAAGUUUUCCAAUCACGCAGCAUCAGACCUUAAAGGAGGGAAGAAAAUAUGUACAAUCACAGCCCCAUAAGAGCUGGCACUUGCUUGUCACUUUUCAUUUGUUUGUCUUGAAAGAGAAACAGAAAACACAAACUUUAGUAUAAUUUACCAUUAAAACUAGAAAAAGUUUAUGUAAUUUCUAUAUAGAAAUGAUCCCCAGAAAGGAGUCAUCUGUUCUUGACCUCUCAUCCAAUCAUUAAUACUGGUUUGGGAAUCAGACUGGGCAACUGGAGCUCCUCCUCAACAACCGCAAUCUAUCCUUAGCUUUUUGAGCUUUGGUAUUAGCCUUUGCUUUUACUUCCUCAUAAUACUGCAUGACAAUCGAACACAUUAAACAUAAAUAUGUACCUUAAUUCUCAACUACGGAAGUCCAUGUGGGUCUGAAGAAAUAUAUGUGCACACAAAAAUUCUUUAUUAUGAUACGCAGAUUCUUUUGAUCUUUCCCUGUUAUAUACUUCAGAAAAUAAUCAAAUUUACAUUUCAGUCCAAAUUAUAAAUUCACAGGGAACAAAAUUCGGAAGUUGACUAGCUUAAGUAAAAAUGUUUCCAUUAUAGACCCACCUCGGCAUGGAUUGUUGCCAUCAGGUUGCACCAUAUCUGCAAAAUUGCAAAUUUGGGCACAUUGGCAAUGAAAAAUUAAGCGUGACCAAAAGAACAUGAUGAGAGCUAUUUGGUGGCUGCUGGAUGCAAGCAGAUUCAAGGGGUUUAAAAAAUUGGCUCUUAUGUUACAAUAGAAAAAAGACAGUGAUUUACGUGUUUUACCUGUUGUUUUCUUUUUCUUUCCAGCUCAGCCUGUUAAUAGCAUGAGAAGGCAACCUCUUGUCAGUGACAUCAAGUAAAAGCAUAUGAAAAAGAAUAAAAAAUAGACCAGUACUAACAAAUUUGUAUCAUUCUCACCAAAGCCUGCUUCAGUUGAGCGUUCUCUUCUUUCAAUUGGUUCAGCUCGGCCUCCAGUUCAACCGUAUAAGCCUGCCAAAGAGUGAAUUAAGUAAACUAGUUUCACUUUUGUCCCAUUGACAGCUAUAACUUGCCCGAUGUUUAUGGUAGAAUACCUGUUUCCUUGCUCUAGACCUUGCUGCGGACUCCCUAUUUUUGAUCAUCCGGCGCUGCCGCUUCUCCACCACCUUCUCCACCUGUCCGCCAUCCGUGAUACGUUUCCUUCCGCCCCUCAUUCCGCCCAUGUCCAUUCCAUACUGAUGGGCACCAUCCAUGUGACCCGCGCAUAUCCCAUCUGACGACACUGGGCUCACCGGUGACCCCAUUCCCAGCCCAUAACCGCCGCCGCCACUGCCGCCAUAACACACCGCCGGUGGUGGCGGUGGGUGGUAACCACUUCUCUUCCCAUUCCCUACGUACCCUGGUGUCUCAGCCACCCCACCCUGGGGCAUUGCUUGGUAUGCAGGCAUAUUAACGCCACCCCCACCACCAGGCGCGGCUGAAGCCAUGAUCGGCCUGGAAACGAAGCUAGGGCCAACUCCGGGAUUAUUACUGUUCUGGUACAUUCCAUACGGCGCUGGCUGAGCCGGCGGAGGCGGAUUGCACUGUUCCCGAACUACCCCUGCCCGGAUCAAGAAAUCCUCCAGUGUCAUCUCCCCAAAAGUGGCCUGCCGCUGGGCAGAACCGGAAUUCUGAAUGCUGUUAUUAUUCCCACCACCCCGAUGCUGUUCCUGCUGACUCUUGUGUAUCUCCGACCACACUUCGUCCACCGUUUUCUGGCACAGAGGUGCCGGAAGCGUGAGAGAGCCUUGCCUCGACAAGCUGAGCUGCCUGGGGAUGCCUUUCUCCGCCGCCGACCCCGCCGCCGCAUCGCCGGCCAGAAACUGUAUAUUGUGGUUGCAGUUAUCAACAGCCGUAUUGGCGCCGGUGGGGUUGGAGUGAUGAGUAGCGUGGGCUUGAGCUUGGGCCUGGUUUUCUUCAGCUGUCCAGAUGCUGUUGAGGAACUCGUCCAUGUUCAUGGAGCCGAAAUUCUUGCCGCUUUCGCAGAGGGUGUGCUGGAACUCAUCCAGGGUGAGGGAGUAGAUCGACGACUGUCUUCCCAGCGACGCAAAUGCGGCGAGGUUCCUGCUGGGCUGCUGCUCAGCCUGCAAUGGCGACUCCACCUCGGCUUGAGACAUGAUCUCGGACUCUGGCACCACCAUUUUGACCAGCUUCAGUUGAACUUGUUUGGGUUUCUGUAAAAGACACAAGGUCAAGAAAAUCAGGUAGUUGUUGAUCGAAUACUGCUCACCAUUACUUUCUGGUCAUAGAUAUGCUUCAAGAACAUUUUCUAAUUUCAUAUACAAGGGUAGCAAAGGAGUGGUCUACCUGGGCCGGGCUAGAAGUGGGCCUGGGUUGGACAAAAUCUUCGGGCCCAACUGCAGAUGUUAUUCUGGUUAAGCGGAUCUGCGUACUGCUCCAUUUGCGAGAACGUGGAGCAGAAGAGACCCGCCGAAUGGCUGAGGGAAACCAUGGGAAGAAGAGAUGAAAUGGAGAGAGAGGCAACUAACUAGAAGAACUACAUGGAAGUACUAAAGCCAGUUCGAGUCCGCCCUGGGGAAGGAUGCACGGAGGUGCUGCCACGAUUCUGCCAGGUGCCUCCUCCACACUCAGUUUUGCUCUGCUGCUUUUCUCUACAGCUCAACACGUGUCUCUGCCGUGGUCAUUAUCCAGUGUUGCCCGUAUGCACUGCAACCGGUUCCAUUCCAUCUAAUUAUCAAUUUAGUCAGUAAUCAAUUUAGAUGGUCUACUCCUAGAAGCUUACGAAACUAUCAAUUUAGUUAGUAAUAAUACAGACUUGUAAUUACUUAACAUUAUUUUAUUUAUAUAAAACUAAGCUUAUUAUAAUAUAAAAGUUUUUUAGAUAAUAAUUUGAAAAAAAGUGAUUUUUCCCUUACCUUAUAUAAUUAACUGUCACAUAAUUUUUAAAUAUUUUUUAAUCAUUUUUCUCCUUUCGUUCCCCUCUUAUUCUCUU